UACGUAGGGCGCAAGCGUUAUCCGGAAUUAUUGGGCGUAAAGAGCUCGUAGGCGGUUUGUCGCGUCUGCCGUGAAAGUCGGGGGCUCAACCCUCGAAUGCCGGUGGAUACUGUCGGGCUAGAGUGCGGGAGAGGCGAGUGGAAUUCCUGGUGUAGCGGUGAAAUGCGCAGAUAUCAGGAGGAACACCAAUUGCGAAGGCAGCUCGCUGGAACGUAACUGACGCUGAGACGCGAAAGCGUGGGGAGCAAACAGG
rnacentral:rRNA from 1 species